rnacentral:lncRNA from 1 species
UUCGAACCUGAGAAAAAAAUUUAAUUUUUUAAAUUUUUGUGAACAAUAUACUUCCUAACAUUAUCCACCUAAUCAAACACUAAAUAACAUAAGAUCCGUAAACCUAUCUAAAUUCCCUAUACUAACCACCUAAUCUAUCCUAAACUAAUCAAACUAGAGAGGAAUUAGAGAGACUUACCAUUGCUUCGAAUUAGGGAGGAAGUGGAGAGGAAAUGGAGAGGAAAGACAGAGCGAACUCGCUCGGGGUAUAUAUAAGAUUACUUGUCCUCGUAAUUUCCUCGUAAAUUUACGAGGAAUUACAGAGGCCCGCGUUUUUAUUUACGAGGAAAUAGCGACGAAAUACAAAGGCCCGCGUUUUCGUUAACGACGUUUUUACGACGAGUUGGGUUACGUGGAAUUAACGAGUUAACCUGUUACGAGGAAUUAGCGAGCAUAUAUUUUCUAUAAAUACCCACAACUUUCCUUCUCAAACCACACACAAACUCACAAAACACACCCUAUCUCAAAUCACACACCUCACCAAAAAACUUUUCAAAUUAGAAAUAUUUGAAAA